AUGGUGACAGAGAUACAGGCUCCUGAGACUGGCCAUAGGGCUUCAAGGCCCUUCUCCCCUGUCUGCCUGGGACUGAGUCAUUUUUAUGACUCUGGCAAGAAGAGUGAUACUGUCCAGACCUCACCUUUGUCCCCAGUUCCAUGUCCUCAGAACUUCACUAUCUGUCUUGCAGUUGGUGAAAAGGAACCUGACCUGUUCCUCCUCUCAGAGUGCAAAGCCCCAGAGGAAAGUGUACAGAUAAACCUGGGCUGUUUGGCAAUGGGAAAUCAGCCACUGGAAAUCAGCUGGGAGCCAAAGAAACCGAGUAUAGUUGAAUAUGUCUUCCCCUCUGAAAUGAAAGAUGGCAAAUAUAGAAGGAUUCUCCGGGUCACUGUGCUGGCCUCAGAACUGAACCUCAACCACACUUGCACCAUAAAUAAACCCAAAAGGAAAGAAAAACCUUUCAAGUUUCCUGGAUCAUGGGGUUCUCGGUCCUCUAAGAAAGUCACUCCAACUCUCCAAGCAAAGAAUCACUCCACGGAAGCCACCAAAGCUACUGCCAUCCAAAAGGACAUAGAAGGAGCCAUGCCACCCAGCAACCUCACUGUGAACAUCCUGACCACAUCCACUCAUCCUGAGAUGUCAUCUUGGCUCCUGUGUGAAGUAUCUGGCUUCUUCCCCGAAAAUAUCCACCUCAUGUGGCUGAGUGUCCACAGUAAAAUGAAGUCUACAAAUUUUGUCACUGCAAACCCCACCCCCCAGCCUGGGGGCACAUUCCAGACCUGGAGUGUCCUGAGACUACCAGUCGCUCUGACCCCAUCACUUGACACUUACACAUGUGUGGUGGAACAUGAGGCCUCAGAGACAAAGAUUAAUGCCAGCAAGAGUCUAGCAAUUAGUGGCAUAGUCAACACCAUCCAACACUCCUGCAUCACGGAUGAGCAAAGCGACAGCUACAUGGAUGUAGAGGAGGAGAACGGCCUGUGGCCCACAAUGUGUACCUUCGUGGCCCUCUUCCUGCUCACACUGCUCUACAGUGGCUUCGUCACCUUCAUCAAGGUGAAGUAGACCAGGACAGCAGAAUCCUGCAACUACAGAGAAAAGCGCUUUCCCUCAACAUGAAGCCAACUAAGAAGAUACCUUCUA